rnacentral:rRNA from 1 species
AUUGAACGCUGGCGGCAGGCCUAACACAUGCAAGUCGAGCGGAUGAAGGGAGCUUGCUCCUGGAUUCAGCGGCGGACGGGUGAGUAAUGCCUAGGAAUCUGCCUGGUAGUGGGGGAUAACGUCCGGAAACGGGCGCUAAUACCGCAUACGUCCUGAGGGAGAAAGUGGGGGAUCUUCGGACCUCACGCUAUCAGAUGAGCCUAGGUCGGAUUAGCUAGUUGGUGGGGUAAAGGCCUACCAAGGCGACGAUCCGUAACUGGUCUGAGAGGAGGAUCAGUCACACUGGAACGGAGACACGGUCCAGGCGCCUACGGGAGGCAGCAGUGGGGAAUAUUGGACAAUGGGUGAAAGCCUGAUCCAGCCAUGCCGCGUGUGUGAAGAAGGUCUUCCGAUUGUAAAGCACUUUAAGUUGGGAGGAAGGGCAGUAAGUUAAUACCUUGCUGUUUUGACGUUACCAACAGAAUAAGCACCGGCUAACUUCGUG